rnacentral:rRNA from 1 species
UACGGAGGGGGCUAGCGUUGUUCGGAAUUACUGGGCGUAAAGCGCACGUAGGCGGCUUUGCAAGUUAGAGGUGAAAGCCCGGGGCUCAACUCCGGAAUUGCCUUUAAGACUGCAUCGCUAGAAUUGUGGAGAGGUAAGUGGAAUUCCGAGUGUAGAGGUGAAAUUCGUAGAUAUUCGGAAGAACACCAGUGGCGAAGGCGGGUCUCUGGGCCGAUACUGACGCUGAGGAGCGAAAGCGUGGGGAGCGAACAGG